rnacentral:misc_RNA from 1 species
AAGUCGUAACAAGGUUUCCGUAGGUGAACCUGCGGAAGGAUCAUUAACAAAAAAUCUGAAGCCACCAGUGGGCGCAAGCCUGCCGGUUGGUUUUCAACAACCUUCUACCUUGUGAAUUGUGAACAACUGUGAGUGCCUGCAGGCCAGCCAGUCAGGCCGGUCUGCGGGAACCCCUUUUAUUAAACAUUAAAGUCUAAUUUUACACUGUCUGCAAAGAUAGCUAACAAAUACAACUUUUAACAAUGGAUCUCUUGGUUCCU